rnacentral:rRNA from 1 species
UACGGAGGGGGCUAGCGUUGUUCGGAAUUACUGGGCGUAAAGCGCACGUAGGCGGCUUUGUAAGUUAGAGGUGAAAAGCCCGGGGGCUCAACUCCGAAUUGCCUUUUAAGACUGCAUCGCUAGAAUUGUGGAGAGGUAAGUGGAAUUCCGAGUGUAGAGGGUGAAAAUUCGUAGAUAUUCGGAAAGAAACACCCAGUGGCGAAGGGCGGACUUACUGGGACACAUAUUUGACGCUGAGGGUGCGAAAAAGCGUGGGGGGAGCAAAACAGGG